UGGACAUAUCACAUUGAAUCACCGGUUCUCGAACGAUCACCGAAGUUAAGCCAUGUCGAGCCUGGUCAUUACCUAGAUAGGUAACCGCUUGGGGAUAUCAGGUUCUGUAAG